UCUCUGCACAUGAAGUUUUUUUUCCUGCCUGCUUACUUCACCGAACUUUAUGCAGGUGCAGCAGGUUACAGGGUUUAAGAUACACUCUCUGCUCGGGGAGCACAUUUACCUAUGGAGUUUCCUUUAGAUCCACAAAGAGCACAGGCCCCCGUUACUGCUCUCACACAGAUACAAGAUGCCUCAACUCUUAGAGCAUGCGUUGACAGGAUAGACAUGUGUCACCAUGGGUUGCAGAUAUGAAGUGUGCCUAUUUCCUUUCCCUCCCCAGGAACAGACCCUGUCAGGAUACUUACGGAGAACCCUAGUCCCUCACAAGACCCACACUGGCAUUCUUCCAGGAUGUGUUUGCUUGUAGAAGGAAUUCACCCUUAGGAUCAUUGUGAGAAGCACAAAUGGACGACCGAGGUACUGAAAGUGUGUACUGUGUUAGAAGAAAGGACAGAUAAGAUACGACUGUGGCGAUGACAGUUGGGGGAGCAGCCGGGAAACCACGUGGUAGAGAACUGCUGUCACCAUCUUUUAGGUAACUUCAGGUAACAGAAUUGAUUAUCUCCUUGCUUUGAAGCCUCCUCAGUAAGAUCUUUUAAAAUAUGAUUUCCAAAGGUAAUAGCCGCAGAACUAAGCCUUGAUCCACCUACCAUCUCUGGCCAUCUUAAGAGUAUUAGAUGCUAUGUAGUCGAA
rnacentral:lncRNA from 1 species